rnacentral:rRNA from 1 species
UACGAAGGGUGCAAGCGUUAAUCGGAAUUACUGGGCGUAAAGCGUGCGCAGGCGGUUCGCUAAGACCGAUGUGAAAUCCCCGGGCUUAACCUGGGAACUGCAUUGAUGACUGGCGAGCUAGAGUGUGGCAGAGGGGGGUAGAAUUCCACGUGUAGCAGUGAAAUGCGUAGAGAUGUGGAGGAAUACCGAUGGCGAAGGCAGCCCCCUGGGCUAAAACUGACGCUCAUGCACGAAAGCGUGGGGAGCAAACAGG